rnacentral:rRNA from 1 species
AUUGAACGCUGGCGGCAUGCCUAACACAUGCCAGUCGAACGGCAGCACGGUCCAGUUUACUGAUGGGUGGCGAGUGGCGGACGGGUGAGUAACGCGUAGGAAUAUGCCUUGAGGAGGGGGAUAACUUGGGGAAACUCAAGCUAAUACCGCAUAAGCUCUUAGGAGUAAAGCUGGGGACCUUCGGGCCUGGCGCUUUGAGAUUAGCCUGCGUACGAUUAGCUAGUUGGUGGGGUAAGGGCCUACCAAGGCGACGAUCGUUAGCUGGUCUGGGAGGAUGGCCAGCCACACUGGAACUGAGACACGGUCCAGACUCCUACGGGAGGCAACAGUGGGGAAUAUUGGACAAUGGGGGCAACCCUGAUCCAGCAAUGCCGCGUGUGUGAAGAAGGCCUGAGGGUUGUAAAGCACUUUCAGUGGGGAGGAGGAUUGAUUGGUUAAGAGCUGAUUAAUUGGACGUUACCCACAGAAGAAGCACCGGUAACUCCGUGCC